AUGCCAAGGGCAUAAAGCAAAACUGGAAUGUUUUUCCUGAAACCGCAUGGGAUGCUCAUGCCUUUAGGAUUUGCCUUAAUCUUAAAAGCUCCAUGGUUUGAAGGGAGAAGAAAGCUCACAGCUGCUCAUCAGGAAACAACUCUUUGUGUACCCCAAGAAUCCUUCUUGAAGGAAGCGGAAAUCAGAAGAGGUGGCCCUGAGGAAGGAAGCUCCCUGCAGCAGGGAUUCCACGUCUUGGAGAAAGAAAAAUGAUCUGCAGACUCUGCUUGACAUGGCAGCCGUUGAUUUUAAGUAUCUGUUCUUGCAACACCAGCAGCAUAUCUGGGUGUGUCUAUCUUCUUCCCAUCCCUGACUCACUGUGUUCCACAGGGAGAGUAAUGGUACUCUUUUUCCCUCUGAUCACAGAAGAACCUCUCCUUUGUAGAAACCAUAAUGCUGUUAUCUUGGUUGAGUAGAUUCUUCAAGUAACUUCCAGCAAUUUUUGAAGACUCCAGCCUGCUGCUUAAAGUCCAUGUUUACAUUUUGCAUCUUCUCAUGACCCCAAUUCUCUAUAUUUGAUAUGUAUCAUCAUCUUUAAGGGACUUCGUCAGAAUAUUCUAUGAACACCACCCUGUACUUCAGAAUAACAAGUUGCUGGAACAGCAACAUCAUCAGUGUGAAUGUGCACCUUUGGCAGAUAAUCAUAAGGCUUCAUUUUCCUGAAAGUCAUAAUUCACAUCAGCCUGCUGCACUGAGUGAGAUAACAUUAUUUUCUUGUUCACGGAAAUAAAAUU